UGAAAAUGACAGGCCUCUCUCAUCUUUUUAAGUGGGAGAACUUGCACAAUUGGUGGCUGACUAAAUACUUUUUUCAUACUUCAUUCAUAGUAAACCAGAUUGCUGCAAAGAAUAAAACAAUGAUCAGCCAAAGAUAACUCGCAUCACUGAUGAUAAGCGAGGACCGAAGUCAAUGAAGGAGGGGCCCCUGAAGUUACCCAUGAGCCCUUGCUCCCCAUCACGUCUUUCCCUUGUGGAGAGCCAGCCUUUGUACAGGCUGCUAGAAAGAGAAAGCACUGCAUUCCUGAUGGAUUCAAGUGUAGACAGAUACAGUCAGCUUUCUGGAAAUGAUGACUCAACCUUGUGACAUUUGGCUGGUUCAUUGAUUGUUGCUCUCAGCUCUCACCAGUGCUGGAAUCAAACAUGUCAGACACCAGUACGUCAGACUACCAGCAACACAUCCAGGAUAAGGGGCUCACCCUUCGUCAGUCUACUCCUUAGGGGCAGGCCUGCUCUCCCUCCAGCAGAGAGCACAGGUCCAGCCACAGCCACACUGCUCCCCUAGACCUCCCUGGGAUAUCUCCACCUCAGAGCAACCACAGGAGGGAGGAGAGAGUGUGCCUCGUGGUCCACAGUACCAAGUGGACCCAAACAGCAGCUGAGCAUGACCCCCCUCAGUAUCCAAAGUAUGGUUUGGAGGCACAGUGCCUGAGUGAGUACUGAACUGAAAUAUCAAAGAUGUGUUUUUACCUGAUAUGCAGCAAAUCAUUUUCUUUAUCCGUCUUCUGUUCAUACAUUAUUGAGAUUGACAACCCCCCGAACUGAUAUUCAUUUUUUCCUGAUUUCCAUUGCUGUAUCGAUUACAUCUGUGAAGAUAGAGGUAUUAGUUGAUAUUUCCAUAACUUGUGCACUGACUAAUGGGGUAUGCAUCGGCCUACCCAGUAGCACAGAGACCAGAGACCAUGCCAUGCACAUAGUGGGGUUCUCUAUCAACCAAUCUGAGGGCAAAGACCACACCUUGAAGUUCUCUCUCAAAAAUCAUACAAUGGAGUUCUCCGUCAACCAAAUAGAGAGUGAAGAGCAACACAACGAAGCACUCUUCGGGGCCUUGCAGUAAUGAGGAUUAUGGAAGUGAAGGUACCUGUGCAUCCCAAAUGGCACCCCAUGCCCUAAAUAGUGCACUACUUUUGAACAGGUUGCAUAGGGCUCUGGUCAGAAGUAUAGCACUUUGUAGGUAAUAAGGUACCAUUUGCUACGCAGGCACUGUCCAGUGUGCAUUAUGUAGGCUAUUAAUAAUUUCCCUUCACUAAAAACUAUGAUACAUGUUUUUGGAGAAAGUUUGCCAAUCUCUCUUUACUGACAUACAGGACCAGUCAAAAGUUAGGACACACCUACUCAUUCCAUGGUUUUUCUUU